rnacentral:rRNA from 1 species
AUUGAACGCUGGCGGCAUGCCUUACACAUGCAAGUCGAACGGCAGCGGACCUUCGGGUGCCGGCGAGUGGCGAACGGGUGAGUAAUGCAUCGGAACGUACCUUUCAGUGGGGGAUAACGUAGCGAAAGUUACGCUAAUACCGCAUAUUCUGUGAGCAGGAAAGCAGGGGAUCGCAAGACCUUGCGCUGAUUGAGCGGCCGAUGUCAGAUUAGCUAGUUGGGGAGGUAAAGGCUCACCAAGGCGACGAACUGUAGCGGGUCUGGGAGGAUGAUCCGCCACACUGGGACUGAGACACGGCCCAGACUCCUACGGGAGGCAGCAGUGGGGAAUUUUGGACAAUGGGGGCAACCCUGAUCCAGCCAUGCCGCGUGAGUGAAGAAGGCCUUCGGGUUGUAAAGCUCUUUCGGCCGGGAAGAAAUCGCACAGGCUAAUACCUUGUGUGGAUGACGGUACCGGAAUAAGAAGCACCGGCUAACUACGUGCCAGCCGCCGCAGUAAAAC